rnacentral:rRNA from 1 species
GAUUCGUCACACUAUCAUUAACUGAAUCCAUAGGUUAAUGAGGCGAACCGGGGGAACUGAAACAUCUAAGUACCCCGAGGAAAAGAAAUCAACCGAGAUUCCCCCAGUAGCGGCGAGCGAACGGGGAGGAGCCCAGAGCCUGAAUCAGCAUGUGUGUUAGUGGAAGCGUCUGGAAAGGCGCGCGAUACAGGGUGACAGCCCCGUACACAAAAGCGCAUGUGCUGUGAGCUCGAUGAGUAGGGCGGGACACGUGGUAUCCUGUCUGAAUAUGGGGGGACCAUCCUCCAAGGCUAAAUACUCCUGACUGACCGAUAGUGAACCAGUACCGUGAGGGAAAGGCGAAAAGAACCCCGGCGAGGGGAGUGAAAAAGAACCUGAAACCGUGUACGUACAAGCAGUGGGAGCACCCUUCGGGGUGUGACUGCGUACCUUUUGUAUAAUGGGUCAGCGACUUAUAUUCUGUAGCAAGGUUAACCGUAUAGGGGAGCCGGAGGGAAACCGAGUCUUAAUUGGGCGUUAAGUUGCAGGGUAUAGACCCGAAACCCGGUGAUCUAGCCAUGGGCAGGUUGAAGGUUGGGUAACACUAACUGGAGGACCGAACCGACUAAUGUUGAAAAAUUAGCGGAUGACCUGUGGCUGGGGGUGAAAGGCCAAUCAAACCGGGAGAUAGCUGGUUCUCCCCGAAAGCUAUUUAGGUAGCGCCUCGUGAAUUCAUCUCCGGGGGUAGAGCACUGUUUCGGCUAGGGGGCCAUCCCGGCUUACCAACCCGAUGCAAACUGCGAAUACCGGAGAAUGUUAUCACGGGAGACACACGGCGGGUGCUAACGUCCGUCGUGAAGAGGGAAACAACCCAGACCGCCAGCUAAGGUCCCAAAGUCAUGGUUAAGUGGGAAACGAUGUGGGAAGGCCCAGACAGCCAGGAUGUUGGCUUAGAAGCAGCCAUCAUUUAAAGAAAGCGUAAUAGCUCACUGGUCGAGUCGGCCUGCGCGGAAGAUGUAACGGGGCUAAACCAUGCACCGAAGCUGCGGCAGCGAC